rnacentral:lncRNA from 1 species
CAUGCAGAAAUGCCCUUUGGACUCUUGACAGGCGUCUGGAGGGGCUCAGGUUGUAGAGACCCAGGGAAGCAGGCAGUGUCUCAGAUCCUGGUCGUUGCCAGGAAAUGAGAACAGUUGGGGCUGUUUGGCUGUGGGUUUAUCCCUCAAGGGCCAGGGGUAGUGGGGAAGGAUUAUAGGCCGCAGCUGAAUGCAUACAGAGGUCCUAAUCACUGAUGUUCUGGGGGUUUCAUGACAAAGAGAGGUUAAGGGACCAGAUCUUCCCCUCGGUGCAAUCCAUCCAUGAUCAUCUGCUUAUCGAUUCCACCUGCUUCUUGGGCAAUGCAGCCAAAUUCUGCUGCGUUAAUAAGCAGCCUUGAUGGCCUUGGCAGGCACCUUCGCCUGUGGGACUGCUCAGGGGUAGAAGACUGUCAGAAGAAAUGCAAGUUCCCAGUGUUCACUCUCUUCAGAGUGUUGACAUUCCCACCCCGAGGAGCCAACUCAGGAGAGGAAACGGGAGAGAGGAGAAAGCCUCACUCCAAGAAGUGUGGGAAGUCAGCCACUAUUGCCAAAGGUCACGGAUUCCUGUGCCUAACCCUAUACAGAGUCCCUUGGACUGGGAGGCUGCAGCACCCAGUGGAGACAACAGGUCCUGUCUGCAAGGGCCCACAGUCUAGGAGCGGAGUGACCGAGCCUGGCUGCCCCCCUUACAGAGAAGGCAAAGGUCCCAGAAAAUGGCUCUAA